AUUGAACGCUGGCGGCAGGCCUAACACAUGCAAGUCGAACGAGUGGCGGACGGGUGAGUAAUUUCUGGGAAACUGCCCGAUGGAGGGGGAUAACUACUGGAAACGGUAGCUAAUAACGCAUACCAUCGGAUGAGCCCAGAUGGGAUUAGCUCGUAGGUGGGGUAAAGGCUCACCUAGGCGACGAUCCCUAGCUGGUCUGAGAGGAUGACCGUCCACACUGGAACUGAGACACGGUCCAGACUCCUACGGGAGGCAGCAGUGGGGAUUAUUGCACAAUGGGCGCAAGCCUGACGCAGCCAUGCCGCGUGUAUGAAGAAGGCCGUCGGGUUGUAAAGUACUUUCAGCGGGGAGGCGUUACCCGCAGAAGAAGCACCGGCUAACUCCGUGCCAGCAGCCGCGGUAAUAC
rnacentral:rRNA from 1 species